rnacentral:tRNA from 1 species
GCUCGGCCUGCUCGACGGCGGUACGGAUCGCGGUCUCCUGGACCGCGUUGAAGGCCUUGCCGACCUGGCCGAUCUCGUCGGUGCCGAACUCCA